GUAUAGAACUGUGGCUCUUGCCUCAUGGGUGGAAAUGAAAGUGAAGGCAGAAGCAGCAGGGGAUAAACUGAGUGUGCUCCUGUGCUCUUUGCAGACUGGCUGAUCCUGCAGGCUUCACAUCCUGUCUUUGAAGGAGACAAUGUCAUUCUGAGAUGUCAGGGGAAAGAUGACAAAAACACUCAUCAAAAGGUUUACUACAAGGAUGGAAAACAGCUUCCUAACAGUUAUAAUUUAGACAAUAUCACAGUGAAUUCAGUCUCCAGAGAUAAUAGCAAAUAUCAUUGUACUGCUACUUGUAAGAGGUUUUACAUGAUUAACUUUAAAGAAACUUCAAAACACCUAAAUAUCCAAGUUCAAGGUAAUGGCUAGAUUCCUGUGGAUUACUGGGUUUGGUAGGGAAACUGAGGAUAAAGGGAAGGUGUUUAUCAGUGGUAAUUUCAUAAAGAGGAUCCUAUGGCUCAGCCAUGGGAGGGAGAUGGUUCCUUCUGCAUGUUUCUCUAUCUCCUGAUGGCUGGUGCUGAGAACACAAGUGCAUCUCUCUAGGAACUCUGAGCCUCACCACCCUGGGGACUAUGUUGUUUCUUUUCAUUAGAGCUGUUUCUACAUCCUGUGCUGAGAGCCAGCUCUUCCACACCCAUAGAGGGGAGUCCCAUGACCCUGACCUGUGAGACCCAGCUCUCUCCACAGAGGCCAAAUAUCCAGCUGCAAUUCUCCUUCUUCAGAGAUAGCCAGACCCUCGGAUCAGGCUGGAGCAGGUCCCCCAAACUCCAGAUCCCUGCCAUGUGGACUGAAGACUCGGGGUCUUACUGGUGUGAGGUGGAGACAGUGACUCACAGCAUCAAAAAAAGGAGCCUGAGAUCUCAGAUACGUGUACAGAGUGAGUGUCUAAGGGGCUGCUCUUCCAGAGUCAGAGCUGGGGAGAGGAAGGCCAGUGAUAUCUCCUGCACCCCUAGGAUGGUGGACAUAACAGAGAGGAGAGUCCAGCUAUUCUGGUAAUCUUCUCUCUUUAAGCUCAACAUUGGUCUAACAGCCCUAGAACAUUUUCAUCCACUUGAGUCAGGUAAUAGUAAUUAUUGAUCAGUUACUGAUUGCCCAACCCUAUGGGGUUACAGAGAUGUACAAGAUCGGUUCUCUCAUGAAUCAAGAGACAACUAGAAGCACAGCUGAACACAUGCAGUUUUAAGAGGCCCCUGUGGUGCUUCCAUUUGGUGACCUAAACGCACAACAAAAUAGUCUGAAAAGGGGAAGAUAAAUAUGAACUCUAAUAGUCAGAGAAAGAUAUGGAGACAUGGAUGUAAAUCUGGAGAAGUCUUGAAGAAUAGGAGAAGGGUUUGGAUUCUAUUUUGAUCUUCAAAAUAGAGGAUCUCCAGUGUUCUCUUUUCUUUUGUGGUUUAUUGAUGCAUCAAAGAUUCCUUAGAGAUAAGUGCAUAUAAAAUGUGACCAGAAAACAUUGGGUUUACAGAGAUUAUGGACUUGGUGCCCACAUUUCUCAAGGAUGAGAAUUGUUGUGGGAGUGAGAGGGAUGUUGCUUCCUUUAUAAUCGUAUACACAAUUAAUUUCUUAUUUCCUGCUUUGGGCUUCUGCCUGCUGCACCUGCUGCUAUUGGCCUAUUCAUGGUAGCUCCAGCCUUCCCCUUGACCUUGAUGUCCCUGCCAUCAGGACCUUCACAUGCCAUCUUGUGUUCCCCCAGGAGUUCCUGUGUCUAAUGUGAAUCUAGAGAUCCGGCCCACCGGAGGGCAGCUGAUUGAAGGAGAAAAUAUGGUCCUUAUUUGCUCAGUAGCCCAGGGUUCAGGGACUGUCACAUUCUCCUGGCACAAAGAAGGAAGAGUAAGAAGCCUGGGUAGAAAGAGCCAGCGUUCCCUGUUGGCAGAGCUGCAUGUUCUCACCGUGAAGGAGAGUGAUGCAGGGAAAUACUACUGUGCAGCUGAUAACGUUCACGGCCCCAUCCUCAGCACGUGGAUUCGAGUCACUGUGAGAAUUCCAGUAUCUCACCCCAUCCUCACCUUCAGGGCUCCCAGGGCCCACGCUGUGGUUGGGGACCUGCUGGAGCUUCACUGUGAGUCCCUGAGAGGCUCUCCCCCGAUCCUGUACCGAUUUUAUCAUGAGGAUGUCACCCUGGGGAACAGCUCAGCCCCCUCUGGAGGAGGAGCCUCCUUCAACCUCUCUCUGACUGCAGAACAUUCUGGAAACUACUCCUGUGAUGCAGACAAUGGCCUGGGGGCCCAGCAUAGUCAUGGAGUGAGUCUCAGGGUCACAGUUCCGGUGUCUCGCCCCGUCCUCACCCUCAGGGCUCCCGGGGCCCAGGCUGUGGUGGGGGACCUGCUGGAGCUUCACUGUGAGUCCCUGAGAGGCUCCUUCCCGAUCCUGUACUGGUUUUAUCACGAGGAUGACACCUUGGGUAACAGCUCGGCCCACUCUGGAGGAGGGGCAUCCUUCAACCUCUCUCUGACUACAGAACAUUCUGGAAACUACUCAUGUGAGGCUGACAAUGGCCUGGGGGCCCAGCACAGCAAAGUGGUGACACUCAAUGUUACAGGAACUUCCAGGAGCAGAACAGGCCUUACCACUGUGGGAGUCACGGGGCUGGUGCUCAGCAUCCUCGGCCUUGCUGCUGCUGCUGCUCUGCUGCAUUACGCCAGGGCCCGAACGAAACUAGAAGGACUUUCCGCCACUGGAACAUCUAGUCACAGUCCUAGUGAGUGUCAGGAGGCUUCUUCAUCCAGGUUUUCCAGGAUAGACCCUCAAGAGCCCACUCACUCUAAACCACUAGCCCCGAUGGAGCUGGAGCCGAUGUACAGCAAUGUAAAUCCUGGAGAUAGCAACCUGAUUUAUUCCCAGAUCUGGAGCAUCCAGCAUACAAAAGAAAACUCAGCUAAUUGUCCAACGAUGCAUCAAGAGCAUGAGGAACUUACAGUCCUCUAUUCAGAAUUGAAGAAGACACACCCAGAUGACUCUGCAGGGGAGGCUAGCAGCAGACACAGGGCCCAUGAAAAUGAUGAAGAAAACUAUGAGAAUGUACCACGUGUAUUAUUGGCCUCAGACCACUGGCCCCUUACCCAGAGUGGCCCACAAGAAACAGCCUGCACCAGUUUUUUUUCUGUUCUCUCCAACCACACAUCAUCCAUCUCUCCAGACUCUGCCUCCUACGAGGCUGGGCUGCAGGGGAUGUGAGGCUGUGCAAAAGGUCUGCAAAUCUCCUCUGUGCCUGAGUCUGUGUGUUCCCCAGGAAAAGAGUGGGCAGCCUCUGAGCAAGCACUGUGUUAUUUUCACAGUGGAGACACGUGGCAAGGCAGGAGGGCCCUCAGCUCCUAGGGCUGUCGAAUAGAGGAGGAGAGAGAAAUGGUCUAGCCAGGGUUACAAGGGCACAAUCAUGACCAUUUGAUCCAAGUGUGAUCGAAAGCUGUUAAUGUGCUCUCUGUAUAAACAAUUUGCUCCAAA
rnacentral:sRNA from 1 species